rnacentral:rRNA from 1 species
GGCGNUCAGGAAAGUCUGGAGUAAAAGGCUAUGGCUCANCCAUAGUGUGCUCUGGAAACUGUCUGACUUGAGUGCAGAAGGGGAGAGUGGAAUUCCAUGUGUAGCGGUGAAAUGCGUAGAUAUAUGGAGGAACACCNGUGGCGAAAGCGGCUCUCUGGUCUGUCACUGACGCUGAGGCUCGAAAGCGUGGGUAGCGAACAGGAUUAGGUACCCUGGUAGUCCACGCCGUAAACGAUGAGUGCUAGGUGUUAGGCCCUUUCCGGGGCUUAGUGCCGGAGCUAACGCAAUAAGCACUCCGCCUGGGGAGUACGACCGCAAGGUUGAAACUCAAAGGAAUUGACGGGGGCCCGCACAAGCGGUGGAGCAUGUGGUUUAAUUCGAAGCAACGCGAAGAACCUUACCAGGUCUUGACAUCCCGAUGCUAUUCUUAGAGAUAGGAAGUUACUUCGGUACAUCGGAGACAGGUGGUGCAUGGUUGUCGUCAGCUCGUGUCGUGAGAUGUUGGGUUAAGUCCCGCAACGAGCGCAACCCUUAUUGUUAGUUGCCAUCAUUAAGUUGGGCACUCUAGCGAGACUGCCGGUAAUAAACCGGAGGAAGGUGGGGACGACGUCAAAUCAUCAUGCCCCUUAUGACCUGGGCUACACACGUGCUACAAUGGUCGGUACAACGAGUUGCGAGCCGGUGACGGCAAGCUAAUCUCUGAAAGCCGAUCUCAGUUCGGAUUGGAGGCUGCAACUCGCCUCCAUGAAGUCGGAAUCGCUAGUAAUCGCGGAUCAGCACGCCGCGGUGAAUACGUUCCCGGGCCUUGUACACACCGCCCGUCACACCACGAGAGUUUGUAACACCCGAAGUCGGUGAGGUAACCUUUUAGGG